GUAAGCAUUUCACUGUCAGGUCUACUACACCUGUUGUAUUCGGCAUUUCACUGUAAGGUCUACUACACCUGUUGUAUUCAGCAUUUCACUGUAAGGUCUACUACACCUGUUGUAUUCGGCAUUUCACUGUAAGGUCUACUACACCUGUUAUAUUCGGCAUUUCACUGUAAGGUCUACUACACCUGUUGUAUUCAGCACUGUAAGGUCUACUACACCUGUUGUAUUCAGCACUGUAAGGUCUACUACACCUGUUGUAUUCAGCAUUUCACUGUGAGGUCUACUACACCUGUUGUAUUCGGCAUUUCACUGUAAGGUCUACUACACCUGUUGUAUUCAGCACUGUAAGGUCUACUACACCUGUUGUAUUCAGCACUGUAAGGUCUACUACACCUGUUGUAUUCAGCACUGUAAGGUCUACUACACCUGUUGUAUUCAGCACUGUAAGGUCUACUACACCUGUUGUAUUCAGCAUUUCACUGUAAGGUCUACUACACCUGUUGUAUUCAGCAUUUCACUGUAAGGUCUACUACACCUGUUGUAUUCAGCAUUUCACUGUAAGGUCUACUACACCUGUUGUAUUCAGCAUUUCACUGUAAGGUCUACUACACCUGUUGUAUUCAGCAUUUCACUGUAAGGUCUACUACACCUGUUGUAUUCGGCAUUUCACUGUAAGGUCUACUACACCUGUUGUAUUUGGCA